rnacentral:rRNA from 1 species
CUUGCUCCCUGAUGUUAGCGGCGGACGGGUGAUGUAACACGUGGGUAACCUGCCUGUAAGAACUGGGAUAACUCCGGGAAACCGGGGCUAAUACCGGAUGCUUGUUUGAACCGCAUGGUUCAAACAUAAAAGGUGGCUUCGGCUACCACUUACAGAUGGACCCGCGGCGCAUUAGCUAGUUGGUGAGGUAAUGGCUCACCAAGGCAACGAUGCGUAGCCGAACCUGAGAGGGUGAUCGGCCACACUGGGACUGAAGACACGGCCCAGACUCCUACGGGAGGCAGCAGUAGGGAAUCUUCCGCAAUGGACGAAAGUCUGACGGAGCAACGCCGCGUGAGUGAUGAAGGUUUUCGGAUCGUAAAGCUCUGUUGUUAGGGAAGAACAAGUGCCGUUCAAAUAGGGCGGCACCUUGACGGUACCUAACCAGAAAGCCACGGCUAACUACGUGCCAGCAGCCGCGGUAAUACGUAGGUGGCAAGCGUUGUCCGGAAUUAUUGGGCGUAAAGGGCUCGCAGGCGGUUUCUUAAGUCUGAUGUGAAAGCCCCCGGCUCAACCGGGGAGGGUCAUUGGAAACUGGGGAACUUGAGUGCAGAAGAGGAGAGUGGAAUUCCACGUGUAGCGGUGAAAUGCGUAGAGAUGUGGAGGAACACCAGUGGCGAAGCGACUCUCUGGUCUGUAACUGACGCUGAGAGCGAAAGCGUGGGGAGCGAACAGGAUUAGAUACCCUGGUAGUCCACGCCGUAA